GAUGCUAACCCUUAGCAUCACAGCUGUCCUUUCGGAUCAUCCCCUCAUGGUGCUCUCCAAACAGACCUACAAGCCUUAGCAAGUCACAUCAUCUCUGUGCCUCUGUUUUCUCAUCUGUAAAGUUGGAGAGAAGGCCAGAAGUUGAUACUCACACCACAGCGGGCUGGGAGCAAAGGCUGCUGGUCUCAUAGUAAUCCAUCACAAAGUCCCGAGGAAGUUUCCGGAGGAUGUAGGAGAAGCAGCAGGCAGUGGGAGGGUCGGAACCCACUGGAAAGGAAGGCCGAGAUGCCACUGUUGGACCAGCCCCAACUAGAAAAGUAGGCUCCCUACACUAUGGCUCUAGAAGCAGUAGCUGGAAUAACGGACUUACUUGGUGCUGAGAGCACUGGAGAGCAGAAGGCCGCCGCUAGCACGAGG